GAUGAAGAACGCAGCGAAAUGCGAUAAGUAAUGUGAAUUGCAGAAUUCAGUGAAUCAUCGAAUCUUUGAACGCACAUUGCGCCCGCCAGCACUCUGGCGGGCAUGCCUGUCCGAGCGUCAUUACAACCCUCAGGCCCCCGGGCCUGGCGUUGGGGAUCGGCGGAGCCCCCCGUGGGCACACGCCGUCCCCCAAAUACAGUGGCGGUCCCGCCGCAGCUUCCAUCGCGUAGUAGCUAACACCUCGCGACUGGAGAGCGGCGCGGCCACGCCGUAAAACACCCAACUCUUCUGAAGUUGACCUCGAAUCAGGUAGGAAUACCCGCUGAACUUAAGCAUAUCAAUAAGCGGAGGA
rnacentral:misc_RNA from 1 species